GCUUGUUCUCAGGGCGGGGUGCAAUUCCCGACCGGCGGUAUCCUCCGGAAUUCCGGAGGGAGCCCGCGAGCGCCCGGGGCGGUUUCGGCCCCGGGGUCAGCAGAUCCGGUGAGAGGCCGGGGCCGACGGUACAGUCCGGAUGGGAGAGGACGGGC
rnacentral:ncRNA from 1 species